rnacentral:miRNA from 1 species
AUAGGUCUAUUUGCUUUCUCAUG